rnacentral:rRNA from 1 species
UACGAAGGGGGCUAGCGUUGUUCGGAUUUACUGGGCGUAAAGCGCACGUAGGCGGAUCGUUAAGUCGGGGGUGAAAUCCUGGAGCUCAACUCCAGAACUGCCUUCGAUACUGGCGAUCUUGAGUCCGGAAGAGGUGAGUGGAACUCCUAGUGUAGAGGUGGAAUUCGUAGAUAUUAGGAAGAACACCAGUGGCGAAGGCGGGUCUCUGGGCCGAUACUGACGCUGAGGAGCGAAAGCGUGGGGAGCGAACAGGAUUAGAACUACCUUGUCAGU